rnacentral:rRNA from 1 species
CCUACGGGCGGCUGCAGUGGGGAAUAUUGGACAAUGGGGGCAACCCUGAUCCAGCCAUGCCGCGUGUGUGAAGAAGGCCCUCGGGUUGUAAAGCACUUUCAGUGAGGAAGAACGCCUGGUGGUUAAUACCCAUCAGGAAAGACAUCACUCACAGAAGAAGCACCGGCUAACCCCGUGCCAGCAGCCGCGGUAAUACGGAGGGUGCGAGCGUUAAUCGGAAUUACUGGGCGUAAAGCGCGCGUAGGUGGCUUGAUAAGCCGGUUGUGAAAGCCCCGGGCUCAACCUGGGAACGGCAUCCGGAACUGUCAAGCUAGAGUGCAGGAGAGGAAGGUAGAAUUCCCGGUGUAGCGGUGAAAUGCGUAGAGAUCGGGAGGAAUACCAGUGGCGAAGGCGGCCUUCUGGACUGACACUGACACUGAGGUGCGAAAGCGUGGGUAGCAAACAGGAUUAGAUACCCUAGUAGUC